CUGGACAUCUUUGGUUUUGAACAUUUUGAGAAGAACAGCUUUGAACAAGCAUGCAUCAAUCUGGCGAACGAACAGCUGCAGUUUUUCUUCAAUCAGCAUGUGUUCAAACUGGAGCAGGAUGAGUAUACAAAGGAGGGUAUCGACUGGACGGAGAUCAAAUUCGUGGAUAAUCAACCUCUCCUGAAUUUGUUCCUGAACAAACCCAUUGGAAUCCUAUCACUGCUGGAUGAAGAGACCAACUUCCCAAAGG